UAUGUAGGCGGUUCUGCAAGUCUGGUGUGAAAUGCCGGGGGCUCAACCCCGGAACUGCGUUGGAAACUGCAGGACUUGAAUCGCUGAGGGGCAGCCAGAAUUCCAGGUGUAGGGGUGAAAUCUGUAGAUAUCUGGAAGAAUACCAAUGGCGAAGGCAGGCUGCCAGCAGAUGAUUGACGCUGAGGUACGAAGGUGCGGGGAGCAAACGA
rnacentral:rRNA from 1 species